GACGAACGCUGGCGGCGUGCUUAACACAUGCAAGUCGAACGGAAAGGCCCUGCUUUUGUGGGGUGCUCGAGUGGCGAACGGGUGAGUAACACGUGAGUAACCUGCCCUUGACUUUGGGAUAACUUCAGGAAACUGGGGCUAAUACCGGAUAGGAGCUCCUGCUGCAUGGUGGGGGUUGGAAAGUUUCGGCGGUUGGGGAUGGACCCGCGGCUUAUCAGCUUGUUGGUGGGGUAAUGGCUUACCAAGGCUUUGACGGGUAGCCGGCCUGAGAGGGUGACCGGCCACAUUGGGACUGAGAUACGGCCCAGACUCCUACGGGAGGCAGCAGUGGGGAAUAUUGCACAAUGGGCGGAAGCCUGAUGCAGCAACGCCGCGUGCGGGAUGACGGCCUUCGGGUUGUAAACCGCUUUCGCCUGUGACGAAGCGUGAGUGACGGUAAUGGGUAAAGAAGCACCGGCUAACUACGU
rnacentral:rRNA from 1 species